ACACAUGCAAGUCGAGGGGAAACGGCAUUAAGUGCUUGCACUUUUUGGACGUCGACCGGCGCACGGGUGAGUAACGCGUAUCCAACCUGCCCCUUACCAGGGAAUAACCCGUUGAAAGACGGACUAAUGCCCUAUGGAGUCCUUUGACGGCAUCAGAUUAGGACUAAAGAUUCAUCGGUAUGGGAUGGGGAUGCGUCUGAUUAGCUUGUUGGCGGGGUAACGGCCCACCAAGGCAUCGAUCAGUAGGGGUUCUGAGAGGAAGGUCCCCCACAUAGGAACUGAGACACGGUCCUAACUCCUACGGGAGGCAGCAGUGAGGAAUAUUGGUCAAUGGGCGCUAGCCUGAACCAGCCAAGUAGCGUGCAGGAUGACGGCCCUAUGGGUUGUAAACUGCUUUUAUGCGGGGAUAAAGUCACCCACGUGUGGGUGUUUGCAGGUACCGCAUGAAUAAGGACCGGCUAAUUCCGUGCCAGCAGCCGCGGUAAUACGGAAGGUCCGGGCGUUAUCCGGAUUUAUUGGGUUUAAAGGGAGUGUAGGCGGCCUGUUAAGCGUGUUGUGAAAUGUAGAUGCUCAACAUCUGAACUGCAGCGCGAACUGGCUGGCUUGAGUACACGCAACGUGGGCGGAAUUCAUGGUGUAGCGGUGAAAUGCUUAGAUAUCAUGAGGAACUCCUAUUGCGAAGGCAGCUCACGGGAGUGUCACUGACGCUUAAGCUCGAAGGUGCGGGUAUCAAACAGGAUUAGAUACCCUGGUAGUCCGCACGGUAAACGAUGGAUGCCCGCUGUUGGCGCUUUGCGUCAGCGGCUAAGCGAAAGCAUUAAGCAUCCCACCUGGGG
rnacentral:rRNA from 1 species